rnacentral:rRNA from 1 species
CCGGAUUUAUUGGGUUUAAAGGGUGCGUAGGCGGGACUGUAAGUCAGGGGUGAAAUACUGCAGCUUAACUGUAGCAUUGCCUUUGAAACUGCCGUUCUUGAGUACAGUUGAGGUAGGCGGAAUGUGGUGUGUAGCGGUGAAAUGCAUAGAUAUACCACAGAACGCCGAUUGCGAAGGCAGCUUACUAAGCUGUUACCGACGCUGAGGCACGAAAGCGUGGGGAUCAAACAGGAUUAGAUACCCCGGUAGUCCACGCUGUAAACGAUGAUUACUGGUUGUUAGCGAUAUAUAGCUAGUGACUGAGCGAAAGCAUUAAGUAAUCCACCUGGGGAGUACGUCGGCAACGAUGAAACUCAAAGGAAUUGACGGGGGCCCGCACAAGCGGAGGAACAUGUGGUUUAAUUCGAUGCUCCGCGGGGAACCUUACC